UACGUAGGCGGAAAAUUAAGUCAGUAGUGAAAUCCCGCAGCUUAGCUGUGGAACUGUUAUUGAUACUGGUUUUCUUGAAUAUAGUUGAGGUAGGCGGAAUGUGUAAUGUAGCGGUGAAAUGCUUAGAUAUUACACAGAACACCGAUUGCGAAGGCAGCUUACUAAGCUAUGAUUGACGCUGAGGUACGAAAGCGUGGGGAGCGAACAGGAUUAGAUACCCUGGUAGUCC
rnacentral:rRNA from 1 species